ACUAAUACGAAGAAAUUUAUUACGAUAUGAAAUUGCAAUUUUUUAAUUUAAUUUUGUGCAUUGUAUCAAGUCAUGAGAUAUCCAAUUCAUAAGUCUAACGUUACAUUUCUAUAAUUUUCUUAAAAUUGUAUCUCGAUAAAAAAUAUUUUGUCAGAAUGCUACGAAGAAAUAUAUUAUAAAUAUAUCAACUUGCCAUAUUACACUUUAGUAUUGCAUUUCUCAAUAUCGCCGUUGGUACUUGAGAUUAAGAGUCAUUAAGAUCGUGCCAAGCACAGUCCAUGUUGUACGUAUAAUACUACGACCAUAUACGACAUCCACUUACAUCCAAGGAUAUUGGUUCAUAACUCAACUCGAGUUGAGUAUGUAGUACGGGUUGCACCUGUAACAAAAAUCCAUUGACGUAGUUGCUGAUAAUAUAUUAGUUCAUAAUGCUUACGGCAAAGCUAUAAUUUUAUGUGUAAUUGUAUAUUUUUAGUUUUUUCUUUUCCUUUUUCUCUUUCUUUUUUUUUUUUCUUUGUCCUUUUUUCUCUUUCAAAGAUUUCAUUAUACGUACUCUCUUUUUCUCUUUUAAUUCACCUCAUUGGUAAGGAUCGAUAUCUUCCCCCUCUCCUACUCCUACCAACACAAGCAUUGUAAUUCGAGAAGUUUCUGCACUGAUAUUGAUCAAAACUCAGAUGAAUAUAGUUUUCGAUCCAUUUUAUUUGACGUGAAACAAGUAUUUCAUUGUCAACGAUAUAAAAGCAAACAAAUAAGAGAAACGUGAUGUGAAUGAAGGUGCACGAAUGAAAAUAACGAUUCCGCGUUUACGUCGUCCUUGACACGUACGAAACAACUCCAUUUCCGUCGAUUGAAAAUGAAAAAGACACUGAUGAUAAUCGACGUUCAUUCUUCGAAGUCAUUAAAAGGACAAGUGAUUGUCAAUGGAAAAAUUGGGAUAUAAUGAUAUCACAGUGAUAAAUUCAUGAAUUAUAAAUUGUUCGAUGAGUAACGUGAUCGAAAUUUUAUGACGAAUGCUUGAUACAAAAUUAAAAAGAUUAAAAACAAGAAAAGAAUAAGAAGAAAAAAAGGAAAAAACAAUUAAGAAUAAAUGAAAAUAAAAUAAUUAAUGAUAAACUAAAGAUAAUGGUAAACGAUUUAACUAACGAUGAUAUAUGUAACGUUCGAUACGAAAUAUCGAUGCAAUUUGACGAUAAAAGAGUAACGAAUCCCUCGGAGCUAUCAGUAAAACCCGAGGCGAUAUUGCUAACGAGUUUCUGACGAUGCCUUAUGCGACCUACGGGUACCUUUUAUGUUCUAUAAUGUGCUUGCAAUCCAGGAUUCUCAGCCGGAUGUGGAUUUCGUCGACUCGAAAAAGGAAUACAGAGCUUCGAAACGAAAACUGACUGUAAGAUGAUGAAAAAUAAGGGGACAGGGAUGGAGGGAGGUAGAGAGAGAAAAGAGAUCUUGCGGCAGAGAAAUUGGAUGUGUAAGUUAGUUCGAAGGUUACAAAAUUCACAACUUUUACGAUUAGAUCUAUCAAUACUUGAUAUAUAUAUAUAUAUAUAUAUAUAUAUAUGUGAUCGGUAUUAUUGAAAUGAAAAAUUUCUCGUCAAUUUGAUAAUGAAUUUGUAUUUGUUAAUUUUCAAACGAUUUAUAUAAUAUCUAAUUUAUUCUAUCUCGUAAAAUAUUUAUAUUUCGUUAAUAGUAAAGAAUAUAUUUAUAUAUAUUACAAAUGAAGGGACAUUGCUAUUUAAAUCGCGACCUGUUCUCUCGAAUGGAGAAACACUAGGCAUUCUGAAGUUACGAGGAACGGUUUCUCCGUGGACGAAGUUAGAGAGCGAGAACUUAGUAAGCCUCGAGAACCCUAAGGAUGGUAGUAUCAAACUACAGCCACGAAAAGCUUUCAUUCCAACACGGUGAAACCACCACGACUCUCUACCCCUCUUACAACCAGUUAGAACUCGCUCCCAUUUUGUACACACGAUCCUAAGCGGACAAGAUUUAACGAGUAAAGCUUCAAACUUAAAGAAGAAGAAAAAAGAAAAAAAAAGAAAAAAAAAAAAAAAGAAAAAAAAAAAAAAGGGAAAACGUAAUAAUCCGGUAAAUAGCUUCUUUCAUUCUAAUUUAUAUGUUAUGCCAGGAAAAAAUGACACUUUUAUUAAUAAUUUCAAAAUAUAACACUUAAUCCACAAUUUAUUUGCAAAUCUGUAAAAACAAAUUUGUAAGACUAACUAUUUUAUUCUAUGAAAAAUAUUAUAUUUUGUAAUUAAAAAAUUAUUAAAACAAAAACAAAAAAAAAUCUAUCGAAUUCAUUCCAUCGGAUGGUCCUUUAUCUCUAUUAAAAAGUUUCUUUCUUUGAUUAAUAAUAAAAAUAAAUAACAUUUAUCAAUAGCUACUAUCGUACGCCAUCUUUUAUUAGUGAGAAAGUACUAAAUUUAUAGAAUAAAUUCCUAACUUAUCAACCAAAAUCAUCGAUUCACUAGUAUACGACAUUUAUUGAGUUAGAUUACUGAAACGUUAUGUCGCGUCAUGCUCCGGUUUCAACGGUAGAUAAAAGCAUUAAAUAUGGCGAGUGUAAUAAAAUGAUUCAUUAGUAACGAUUCAUAAAGGGUUCCAUGAACGUAAAUUAAACUUCUUAAAUUCUGAAUAAAUUUCUAUCACAAGUAUAAGAUCUUAAAGGGUAUUUGAUUUGAAAGAUUUUAAUAUUAGUGCUAUCGUGAAUUUUUAUUAAAGAUAAUUUUAAGUGCAUGUCAUUUUAAUGAAUCGUUAGACGAAAUGAAUAAUAUCAAGGAUAGAGUAUAUCUACUGGUAGAAGCGAGGAACUAAACAUACUCGUUAUGUAAAUUAAAGCCGCACAAGUAAUUAAAGGUUUAACAGGAGUACGUGCACUCGUUGCAACUACUACGGCCAGGUAUAAUUUUCUUUGGUCCGGUUUAAUUCGGUUUAGCUAAAUCACUUUUACAAUGCGAACGUUUCAGUAAAAUCGUGUACGACUUAAAUUUUUAUUAAAUAUUCCGAUCAACUAAACAAACGAUUUUUCAUUUAAUCCAAUUAUAUUAAUUAAUAUCAGAUAUUUAAUUUAUUAUAAUUGACGCGAUUAAAUCUUUAUCGGUUUAAUUCAAAGUUAAUCAUUUGAAAUAAUUUAGGACAUAUUCUUGGCAAUAAUCGGUCUGAUUAGUUCGAUGGAUCUUAAAUAGAGAUUAGGAUCAUUCGUUCAGGCAUAUUGCAUCUUUAGUUCCCAAUGUAUACAGAUAAACCUUUACUUUCAUUGAUUCUCUAUUAGCUCGUAUAAGAGUACUUAUCUAUAAAUAUAUUAUGUAGAGAAUAAAUCGAAUGAAGCUUAUUCGGUCGAUUUAAUUAAAAUAUUUAGUUAAAUUAAACGAUCAAUCGAAUGACUAAUUAUUACUCAUUGUUA